GACGGAGGAUGCAAGCGUUAUCCGGAAUUAUUGGGCGUAAAGCGUCCGUAGGCGGUUUCAAAAGUCUGUUGUUAAAGCCCACAGCUCAACUGUGGAUCGGCAAUGGAAACUGUGAGACUAGAGAGUGGUAGGGGUAGAGGGAAUUCCUAGUGUAGCGGUGAAAUGCGUAGAUAUUAGGAAGAACACCAGUGGCGAAAGCGGCUUUCUGGUCCUUAACUGACGCUGAGGCGCGAAAGCAUGGGGAGCGAACGGG
rnacentral:rRNA from 1 species